GACGAACGCUGGCGGCGUGCCUAAUACAUGCAAGUAGAACGCUGAAGGAGGAGCUUGCUUCUCUGGAUGAGUUGCGAACGGGUGAGUAACGCGUAGGUAACCUGCCUGGUAGCGGGGGAUAACUAUUGGAAACGAUAGCUAAUACCGCAUAAGAGUAGAUGUUGCAUGACAUUUGCUUAAAAGGUGCAAUUGCAUCACUACCAGAUGGACCUGCGUUGUAUUAGCUAGUUGGUGGGGUAACGGCUCACCAAGGCGACGAUACAUAGCCGACCUGAGAGGGUGAUCGGCCACACUGGGACUGAGACACGGCCCAGACUCCUACGGGAGGCAGCAGUAGGGAAUCUUCGGCAAUGGACGGAAGUCUGACCGAGCAACGCCGCGGGAGUGAAGAAGGUUUUCGGAUCGUAAAGCUCGGUUGUAAGAGAAGAACGAGUGUGAGAGUGGAAAGUUCACACUGUGACGGUAGCUUACCAGAAAGGGACGGCUAACUACGUG
rnacentral:rRNA from 1 species